rnacentral:lncRNA from 1 species
UCAAAACAAAAAGGAGCUCACAUGGAAGCUCACUUUUCACAUCCUCCAUGUCUCUCUCUCUCUAUCUCUAAUCACCACCAUAUAAACGCUUUAAUAACUCUAUCUCUCUCCACCAAAUAAGAUAUAAGACAAUACUUUUUGCAAGAACUCAUGAUGAAGACUAUGAGUGUUCAUCUGAGUCAACCCAGAUUUCCCCAUUUCUACUUAAAUCCAAAAACACCAAACACACACCCCAUCC